AUUGAACGCUGGCGGCAGGCCUAACACAUGCAAGUCGAGCGGAUGAAGGGAGCUUGCUCCUGGAUUCAGCGGCGGACGGGUGAGUAAUGCCUAGGAAUCUGCCUGGUAGUGGGGGAUAACGUCCGGAAACGGGCGCUAAUACCGCAUACGUCCUGAGGGAGAAAGUGGGGGAUCUUCGGACCUCACGCUCUCAGAUGAGCCUAGGUCGGAUUAGCUAGUUGGUGGGGUAAAGGCUUACCAAGGCGACGAUCCGUAACUGGUCUGAGAGGAUGAUCAGGCACACUGGAACUGAGACACGGUCCAGACGACUACGGGAGGCAGCAGUGGGGAAUAUUGGACAGUGGGCGAAAGCAUGAUCCAGCCAUGCCGCGUGUGUGAAGAAGGUCUUCGGAUUGUAAAGAACUUUAAGGUGGGAGGAAGGGCAGUAAGUUAAUACCUUGCUGGAUUGACGGUACCAACAGAAUAAGCACCGGCUAACUACGUG
rnacentral:rRNA from 1 species